rnacentral:rRNA from 1 species
GAUGAACGCUGGCGGCGUGCCUAAUACAUGCAAGUCGAGCGAACAGACGAGGAGCUUGCUCCUCUGACGUUAGCGGCGGACGGGUGAGUAACACGUGGAUAACCUACCUAUAAGACUGGGAUAACUUCGGGAAACCGGAGCUAAUACCGGAUCAUAUAUUGAACCGCAUGGUUCAAUAGUGAAAGACGGUUUUGCUGUCACUUAUAGAUGGAUCCGCGCCGCAUUAGCUAGUUGGUAAGGUAACGGCUUACCAAGGCAACGAUGCGUAGCCGACCUGAGAGGGUGAUCGACCACACUGGAACUGAGACUCGGUCCAGACUCCUACGGGAGGCAGCAGUAGGGAAUCUUCCGCAAUGGGCGAAAGCCUGACGGAGCAACGCCGCGUGAGUGAUGAAGGUCUUCGGAUCGUAAAACUCUGUUAUUAGGGAAGAACAAAUGUGUAAGUAACUAUGCACGUCUUGACGGUACCUAAUCAGAAAGCCACGGCUAACUACGUG